AACGCACCUUGCGCUCCUUGGUAUUCCGAGGAGCAUGCCUGUUUGAGUGUCAUUAAUAUAUCAACCUUCUCUUGUUGAGUGGUUUGGAUGUGGGGGGUUUGCUGGCCUCCUAAAAAGGUUUUAGCUCUCCUGAAAUGCAUUAGCAGAACAACCCUGUUCAUUGGUGUGAUAAUCUAUCUACGCUAUUGAAUGUGAAGGGCAGUCCGGCUUUCUAACAGUCCCUAGGACAAAACUCAUCAUUAAUGUGACCUCAAAUCAGGUAGGACUACCCGCUGAACUUAA
rnacentral:misc_RNA from 1 species